rnacentral:lncRNA from 1 species
UCUCUUAGUAUAUGCCUCCCCAAAGUCUCUUUCUGUAUCGCCUACCCGUCUCUUCUCUUAGUAUAUGCCUCACCCAGUCUCUUCUCUUAGUAUAUGCCUCACCCAGUCUGUUUUCUUAGUAUAUGCUCACCAAGAUCUCCUUCUCUUAAUAUAUGCCUCAUCCAGUCUGUUCUCUUAGUAUAUGCCUCACCAAGUCUCCUUCUCUUAAUAUAUGCCUCAUCCAGUCUGUUCUCUUAGUAUAUGCCUCACCAAGUCUCCUUCUCUUAGUAUAUGCCUCACCAAGUCUCCUUCUCUUAGUAUAUGCCUCACCCAGUCUCCUUCUCUUAGUAUAUGCCUCACCCAGUCUCCUUCUCUUAGUAUAUGCCUCACCCAGUCUCCUUCUCUUAGUAUAUGCCUCACCCAGUCUCCUUCUCUUAGUAUAUGCCUCACCAAGUCUCCUUCUCUUAGUAUAUGCCUCACCCAGUCUGUUCUCUUAGUAUAUGCCUCAUCCAGUCUGUUCUUUUAGUAUAGGCCUCAUCCACUCUUACCAUCUUUCAGUCCUUCGCUCCCUCUCUUCUUACCUCUCUCCUUACUACUCUUGUAGAGGUUAUACUGAUAGAACAGAGGUUUGGUUCUCCUGAUUCAGAGGGGUUGGGUUAAAUAUGGAAGACACAUUUCAAUUGAAUGCAUUCAGUUGUUCAACUGACUAGGUAUCCCACUUUCACCUUUCCCUUUGCCUCCAAACACCAGCAUGCACUGGGCACCAAUCUGCUUCUCAUCAGCGCUGCCACGGAGCCACGGGCCAAAACUACAGCCUUCUUUCACUUUAUCAGCCCAGCGCAUAUCUCUCCACGCUCAAUUACAAAGCUGCACCGAUCACCUUCACGCAUUUAAACAAACACAGCCGGUGAAACAUAUCCCCUUUAUCACUGACAACCAAUGCACGAUACAAGUCCCAUUUAGCAUGUGAUGAGGAGAUAUUAUGUGAAUAUGUGUGAUAAUGAUCCAUUAAGGUG